GCGGACGUGGUGCACGGUGCACCGCUGCCUUCUAUUGCAGUCAAGACAUUGGCAGAGUUGUAAGGAGUAAGACGGGGCUCGACUCCCCGCGUUCGCA